GUGUCAGCCGCCGCGGUAAUACGGGGGGAGCGAGCGUUGUCCGGAAUCACUGGGCGUAAAGGGCGUGUAGGCGGGCAUGCCAGUCAGGUGUAAAAGUCUACGGCUUAACCGUAGUUGGUCAUCUGAUACUGCAUGUCUUGAGUUCGAGAGAGGGUGGUGGAAUUCCUGGUGUAGCGGUGAAAUGCGUAGAUAUCAGGAAGAACACCGGAUGCGAAGGCGGCCACCUGGCUCGUAACUGACGCUGAGGCGCGAAAGCUAGGGGAGCGAACGGGAUUAGAUACCCCGGUAGUCCUAGCCGUAAACGAUGGGCACUAGAUGUUCCCACAUUUUGUGGGAGUGUCGAAGCUAACGCGUUAAGUGCCCCGCCUGGGGAGUACGGUCGCAAGGCUGAAACUUAAAGGAAUUGGCGGGG
rnacentral:rRNA from 1 species